ACCCAAAUGAGUCAGAUAAUUUCUUAAAGAGGCCUCCAACUGCAAAUAUGAGAAUUGGUAUUGUAGUAGCCACUUGCUGUUCGGUGGUGGCCAGUGAAAACCACCAGGCUGAAGGACAAUCCCCACCUGGGGAGAAGCAAUUCAGUGGCAGUACCAAGGCAACAACUCUCAGUGGGAAGAGCACAUGGAAUCUUACCAGAAAGAUACUGGAAGAUGGUUCUCUCAUUCCUGCAUGAAAGGAUCCUGAAAAGCUGGAAUCAACUAUGAUGUCUGGUUCUGACCUCAAAGAAGAACAUUCUAAGAACAUUUCUCAGAGAAUAAGAAUGUCUUAUCUUCUAGGCAACAGAAGACCAGCCCCAUAACUAGUGAACAAUUUAGCCUUUGAAUUUACCCAGGACAGAUCCUGCUAUCUCCUGGUCGAUUUACAUCCCCAUGAAAUCCCAACAUGUACCUGUCAUCUUUAUUUAUCUGGUCUCCAAAUCCCACAGUGUCAACGAUGGUUAACUUCAGCCGUACAUUGCUUUCCUGAAGCUCAUAACUUCUGGCUUUUAACCGGACACCUGGUUCAUUGUCAGAGCCAAGAAAACCACCAAGGAAAUUGUCUCACACAAGCAAGCAGCAGAACAGAGAAAGCCAGGAAGAAGAGGGAACAGGAGGAAAACCAUAAGAGGAAAGAACUUGAAUGCAACCCAGCUGGGAACGGUGACUAAGGAGUAUCCAAGGGCCAGGCCCCAACUCAGCCAGCCAGAACUAAACCACACUGAAAGUGAUAAAAGUGAGCAGAAAGGUAGAACAAUGCAGUGGGAAACUGCUUGAUGGGUGAAGUCAGAGGACUCAGGGCAACUCUGCCAUUGUUUCGCUGUGUGACCAGGGAUCAUAUUCCCCAAUGGCCUCAUUUUCAGAUAAGGAGGCAGGUGCAGUGGCUGACUGGUUUUCCCUAUAAACUGGAACAGGUGGAGGAGAGACAGGGCCACAGUGAAUACCUAGUGCCCUGGCGCGCCUGAUCCACCCUUCUCUCCAUUACACUCGGGCUCACUUUGAAGAGCAGCAGACCAAAGAAUCUGAAGUUUAAAGAAUGAAGAAAUGAAGAAUUAAAAUCUGAAAGAAGUGAAGAAUCUGAAAUCUAGCCAAAGUUUUAACCCAGAUUAUAAGGCUGGGUAACCAUUCAAAUGUCACACAGAGAGAGAGGGAGAGGCAGAGACACAGGCAGAGGGAGAAGCAGGCUCCAUGCACCGGGAGCCCGACGUGGGAUUCGAUCCCGGGUCUCCAGGAUCGUGCCCUGGGUCAAAGGCAGGCGCUAAACCGCUGCACCACCCAGGGAUCCCUACAUUGAUCUGACUUAUCAUCACUUCUGAGGGCUAGGAAAACUAGUCACAAAGAAAACUCAACCAAAGCUCUUACAGAAGAUACAAAGAACAUGCAUGCAUCAGACAGAAGGAAGAGGAUUUACUUCCCCAUCCCAUGGCCCUCAAGCCUGGUCAAGUGACUGGCACAGCCACUCUUUGCAGAAGGAUGAUCCGCCUCAUCUUGUUGAAGUUAGGAGUGACCAAUUUACUUUGGCCAAUUAAGUUUGUACCAAAGUGAUCCAUCUAAGAACUUGAUGCUUCAGGAUUCCGUAUCUUUUUCCUCUGCCACCAAACUAGCAAAGUCCAGACCUACCUGGGUCCUGGAGUCAACACAGCAUGGAGAUCUCAAAGGAUGGAACAAAGACUAUGGAAUCCAAAGGAUUUUUAAUUUUCUUUAUGGAGAACACUGACUGACACUUGCAGUCCAAGGUAGGAGUCCUGCCAUAUUUCCUACCCUUUAGGACUCAGUUGCUUCAAUGUUUUAGAAAACAAGAAUCUGUAGUUCUACAUCAAUGAAGGCCUCAAUAAAGAAGACUAUGCUAGAGAUGUCACUGGACCCCUCCUCCUCUUUGUGUGCUUCCUCAGUCUUCACUUACUUCCUCUAUUCUUAAGGGUGCAAUUUGGUCAUAAAAGGAAUUAGUUAUCCUUUCUCAUCUUCCCUCUAUUCUACUGAAUCCUGAAGAAUUCAUACUCUACAGACUUUGAAAAUCUUCUACCAAUCAAUUCCAAAAAUCUGGAGUUAUCCUUAGUUGGGGAACAGGAGUGGAUAGGAUAUAAAAUAUUUUAAAUUUAAAACUGUGUAGAGAGGCACCUGGGUGGCUCAGUUGGUUAAGU